rnacentral:rRNA from 1 species
AACGAACGCUGGCGGCAGGCCUAACACAUGCAAGUCGAACGAGACCUUCGGGUCUAGUGGCUCACGGGUGCGUAACGCGGGGGAACCUGCCCUUAGGUUCGGAAUAACUCCCCGAAAGGGGUGCUAAUACCGGAUAAUGUCUUCGGACCAAAGAUUUAUCGCCUUUGGAUGGGCCCGCGUUGUAUUAGCUAGUUGGUAGGGUAAAAGCCUACGAAGGCGACGAUCCAUAGCUGGUCUGAGAGGAUGAUCAGCCACACUGGGACUGAGACACGGCCCAGACUCCUACGGGAGGCAGCAGUGGGGAAUAUUGGACAAUGGGCGAAAGCCUGAUCCAGCAAUGCCGCGUGAGUGAUGAAGGCCUUAGGGUUGUAAAGCUCUUUUACCCGGGAUGAUAAUGACAGUACCGGGAGAAUAAGCUCCGGCUAACUCCGUG